rnacentral:rRNA from 1 species
GUCUACGGCCAUGCCACCCUGAACAAGCCCGAUCCUGUCUGAUCUCGGAAGCUAAGCACGGUUGGGCCUGGUUAGUACUUGGAUGGGAGACCACCUAGGAAGACCAGGUGCUGUAGGCU